GGAGCUUGCUCCCUGAGAUUAGCGGCGGACGGGUGAGUAACACGUGGGCAACCUGCCUAUAAGACUGGGAUAACUUCGGGAAACCGGAGCUAAUACCGGAUACGUUCUUUUCUCGCAUGAGAGAAGAUGGAAAGACGGUUUACGCUGUCACUUAUAGAUGGGCCCGCGGCGCAUUAGCUAGUUGGUGAGGUAAUGGCUCACCAAGGCGACGAUGCGUAGCCGACCUGAGAGGGUGAUCGGCCACACUGGGACUGAGACACGGCCCAGACUCCUACGGGAGGCAGCAGUAGGGAAUCUUCCGCAAUGGACGAAAGUCUGACGGAGCAACGCCGCGUGAACGAAGAAGGCCUUCGGGUCGUAAAGUUCUGUUGUUAGGGAAGAACAAGUACCAGAGUAACUGCUGGUACCUUGACGGUACCUAACCAGAAAGCCACGGCUAACUACGUGCCAGCAGCCGCGGUAAUACGUAGGUGGCAAGCGUUGUCCGGAAUUAUUGGGCGUAAAGCGCGCGCANGUGG
rnacentral:rRNA from 2 species